rnacentral:rRNA from 1 species
UACGUAGGGACCAAGCGUUGUCCGGAAUCAUUGGGCGUAAAGCGCGCGUAGGUGGCUUCGUAAGUCCGUUGUGAAAGUCAAAGGCUCAACCUUUGAAAGCCGAUGGAUACUGCGGAGCUAGAGUACGGAAGAGGCGAGUGGAAUUCCUGGUGUAGCGGUGGAAUGCGCAGAUAUCAGGAGGAACACCAAUAGCGAAGGCAGCUUACUGGGCUGUAACUGACGCUGAGGCACGAAAGUGUGGGGAUCAAACAGG